rnacentral:rRNA from 1 species
UGGUGGGUAGUUUGACUGGGGCGGUCUCCUCCUAAAGAGUAACGGAGGAGCACGAAGGUUGGCUAAUCCUGGUCGGACAUCAGGAGGUUAGUGCAAUGGCAUAAGCCAGCUUGACUGCGAGCGUGACGGCGCGAGCAGGUGCGAAAGCAGGUCAUAGUGAUCCGGUGGUUCUGAAUGGAAGGGCCAUCGCUCAACGGAUAAAAGGUACUCCGGGGAUAACAGGCUGAUACCGCCCAAGAGUUCAUAUCGACGGCGGUGUUUGGCACCUCGAUGUCGGCUCAUCACAUCCUGGGGCUGAAGUAGGUCCCAAGGGUAUGGCUGUUCGCCAUUUAAAGUGGUACGCGAGCUGGGUUUAGAACGUCGUGAGACAGUUCGGUCCCUAUCUGCCGUGGGCGCUGGAGAACUGAGGGGGGCUGCUCCUAGUACGAGAGGACCGGAGUGGACGCAUCACUGGUGUUCGGGUUGUCAUGCCAAUGGCACUGCCCGGUAGCUAAAUGCGGAAGAGAUAAGUGCUGAAAGCAUCUAAGCACGAAACUUGCCCCGAGAUGAGUUCUCCCUGAGACUUGGAGUCUCCUGAAGGAACGUUGAAGACGACGACGUUGAUAGGCCGGGUGUGUAAGCGCAGCGAUGCGUUGAGCUAACCGGUACUAAUGAACCGUGAGGCUUAACCUUACAACGCCGAAGCUGUU